AGAAUACAGCGCUGUCACCUCUACUGGUCGACCAGAGUCACCUGGAACAGGAAAGAGAAUUCAAAUUAGUAACACUUUCUAGGGAAACCUAAGCUUUUCUCCUUUGAAAAGCAAAUGCAUGGCAGGACCGUUUCCCAAAUCCUUGGAUAAAGGUUAAGAAAUGUCAGGAAAACCAAACUUUUGACGUGAUUUGGAAAUCUAAGCAAGUUAAUCACCUGCUGGUGGGAAUGAGAAGUCACCACAUAGCUGCGGAAAGAGGCUGACACUGCAGCAGGACCAGGGACCACGAGCUCGCGCUGCAUUCCCGCAUCCCACUCCCGCAUUCCCUGUGGUGAGGCUGGAGAGCUGGAGCUAGGCUGAGGGAAAGCUGUUUCUGAAAACAUUCUCCCGAAAACUGGAUCUGCCAGCUCCACAUUUUGGGCCAGGCCAAGAGGGACGUGUAUCCAAGGUCAAACCACUGCACAAGGGAAGUACAUCUUGGAACCUUCCCAAGAUUUCUGGCAUCCCUAAGACCAGCCUGGUCCCACUGAAGCCAACUCCCCGCAGGACGCUGGCCUGGGACGUUUGGCCCAGCAAGCAAGAAGCCAAGACGCCAGGUCCCUCAGGAGAGAGACUCUUAACCUAUUUUUACCUGCCUUCCUGAUAGAAUUUCAAAAAAAAUUUGAUACCUAAUUUUUCUGACAUUUUAUUUACAUGAAAUGGUUAAUUACUUAACAGUUUAAUUCAGUAGUGGAUUGUUUUGUGACUUUCUAACAAAAAAAUAGGAUUCUGUGGCUGUUUAAUUUUAGCCCUCACUCCCCUUCUAUAAAUAACUGCUUGAUCCUUUCAAGGAAAAUUUCUAAAGAAUAUUUAAAAAGAUA